rnacentral:rRNA from 1 species
AGAGUUUGAUCAUGGCUCAGAACGAACGCUGGCGGCAGGCCUAAUACAUGCAAGUCGAGCGCCCAGCAAUGGGAGCGGCGGACGGGUGAGUAACACGUGGGAAUAUGCCCCGAGGUACGGGACAACUCAGGGAAACUUGAGCUAAUACCGUAUGAUCCGGCAACGGCAAAGAUUUAUCGCCUUGGGAUUAGCCCGCGUCCGAUUAGCUAGUUGGUGAGGUAAUGGCUCACCAAGGCACCGAUCGGUAGCUGGUUUGAGAGAACGACCAGCCACACUGGGACUGAGACACGGCCCAGACUCCUACGGGAGGCAGCAGUAGGGAAUCUUGGACAAUGGGGGAAACCCUGAUCCAGCCAUGCCGCGUGAGUGAUGAAGGCCUUCGGGUUGUAAAACUCUUUCGACGGGGACGAUAAUGACGGUACCCGUAGAAGAAGCUCCGGCUAACUUCGUGCCGGCAGCCGCGGUAAUACGAAGGGGGCUAGCGUUGUUCGGAAUUACUGGGCGUAAAGCGCGCGCAGGCGGCCUUUCAAGUCAGGGGUGAAAGCCCAGAGCUCAACUCUGGAACUGCCCUUGAAACUGUCAGGCUUGAGUACGGGAGAGGUGAGUGGAAUUCCCAGUGUAGAGGUGAAAUUCGUAGAUAUUGGGAAGAACACCGGUGGCGAAGGCGGCUCACUGGCCCGUUUCUGACGCUCAGGCGCGACAGCGUGGGGAUCAAACAGGAUUAGAUACCCUAGUAGUCC